GCCAUUAACCCAGCCCAACUCAACACGAAUUAUGCUAAACCAAUUAACCUAUUAUAAUAAACCAUUUUAUUACUUUAGUAAAGGUGAUUGAAAAACUUAUUGGAGCUAUAACAAUAGUACCGCAAGGGAACAAUGAAAUAACCAAUGAAAACUCUAAGCAAAGAAAAGUAAAGAUUAACACUUGUACCUUUCGCAUCAUGGUUUAACUAGUCUAACCAAGCAAAGAGUAUUUAAGUUUGACUUCCCGAAACUAAGUGAGCUACUUCAGGGCAACUAAAAGAGCUAACCCGUCUCUGUGGCAAAAGAGUGGGAUGACCCUCAAGUAGCGGUGACAGACCUAACGAACUUAGUGAUAGCUGGUUAUUCGAUAAAUGGAUUUAAGUCCAACCUGAAAUCUGCACCUAAUAGUUCACCUAUACAAUCUUUACAUUUCAGCGUAAUUCAAAUAAGGCACAGCCUAUUUGAAACAGGACACAACCUAGACCAAUGGAUAAGAUCAGCCUCAUUAUCGACCAAGUGGGCCUAAAAGCAGCCAUCUUUCAAACUGCGUCAAAGCUUAAUCAUUAUAACGCCCAAUCACAAAACUAAUAUCUUAAUCCUCCACCAACACCGAAUACUUCUAUAAUGCUAUAGAAAAUUUUAUGUUAAAACUAGUAACAAGAAGCGAACCUUCUCUUAAAUGUGGAUGUAAAUCAGAAAGGACAGACCACUGAUAUUUAACACCCUUGAACCUAAAGUAACAACUAAUCAAGAAAACCCUACUCUAAGUAACGUUAACCUAACACAAGAACAUUUUAAGAAAGAUUAAAAGAAUAAGAAGGGAACUCGGCAAAUUUUAACCUCGCCUGUUUACCAAAAACAUCGCCUCUUGGCCCCCCCCCCCCCCCAUAAGAGGUCCAGCCUGCCCAGUGACUCUGUUUAACGGCCGCGGUAUCCUAACCGUGCGAAGGUAGCGUAAUCACUUGUUCUUUAAAUAAGGACUAGUAUGAAUGGCAUCACGAAGGUUACACUGUCUCCUUUUUCCAAUCAGUGAAACUAAUCUCCCCGUGAAGAAGCGGGAAUUAACCUAUAAGACGAGAAGACCCUAUGGAGCUUCAAACAAUACAGCAUUUACCUUACAAAUUUAUAAAAACAAACUUUACCAGGUAAAAUGACUGUAAGUUUUUGGUUGGGGUGACCGCGGAGCAUAGUCUAACCUCCUUGUUGAAAAAAUCUUAUUUUAAGCCCAGAAUUACUUAUCUAAGCAUCAACAUUUUGACAUCCAUUGACCCAAUUAUAUUGAACAACGAACCAAGUUACCCUAGGGAUAACAGCGCAAUCCACUUUAAGAGCCCAUAUCGACAAGUGGGUUUACGACCUCGAUGUUGGAUCAGGGUUUCCAAGUGGUGCAGCCGCUACUG
rnacentral:rRNA from 1 species